AUUGAACGCUGGCGGCAUGCUUUACACAUGUAAGUCGAACGGCAGCGCGGGCUUCGGCCUGGCGGCGAGUGGCGAACGGGUGAGUAAUGCAUCGGAACGUGCCCAGUAGUGGGGGAUAGCCCGGCGAAAGCCGGAUUAAUACCGCAUACGACCUGAGGGUGAAAGCGGGGGACCGAAAGGCCUCGCGCUAUUGGAGCGGCCGAUGUCGGAUUAGCUAGUUGGUGGGGUAAAGGCUUACCAAGGCGACGAUCCGUAGCUGGUCUGAGAGGACGACCAGCCACACUGGGACUGAGACACGGCCCAGACUCCUACGGGAGGCCGCAGUGGGGAAUUUUGGACAAUGGGGGCAACCCUGAUCCAGCCAUGCCGCGUGCGGGAAGAAGGCCUUCGGGUUGUAAACCGCUUUUGUUCGGGAAGAAAUCCUCUGGGCUAAUACCCCGGGGGGAUGACGGUACCGGAAGAAUAAGCACCGGCUAACUACGUG
rnacentral:rRNA from 1 species